GACGGGGGAUGCGAGCGUUAUCCGGAAUGAUUGGGCGUAAAGGGUCCGCAGGUGGCCCGGUCAGUCCGCUGUCAAAGCCUGGGGCUCAACCCUUGAAAGCCGGCCGAUACUGUCGGACUAGAGUCCGGAAGAGGCAAGUGGAAUUCCCGGUGUAGCGGUGAAAUGCGCAGAUAUCGGGAGGAACACCAAUGGCGAAGGCAGCUUGCUGGGACGGUACUGACGCUGAGGCGCGAAAGCGUGGGGAGCAAACAGG
rnacentral:rRNA from 1 species